rnacentral:sRNA from 1 species
GAUCUUUGACAUACUUGAUAUAAACAAUGGCGAAUACAGAUAAUCUGCGGGUGCAAGGCCCGCGAGUGAUUAACCAUUGUCGUUAGUCUUUGGCCUAUUGCGCAAAGAGCGAAGCCGUGGAAGGCACGGAAGCCCCGAGGGUCGUAACCCUCCUGACGACAC